rnacentral:rRNA from 1 species
UGGGGAAUAUUGGACAAUGGGCGCAAGCCUGAUCCAGCCAUGCCGCGUGUGUGAAGAAGGCCUUUUGGUUGUAAAAGCACUUUAAAGCGAGGAGGAGGCUACUUGGAUUAAUACUCUAGGAUGGUGGACGUUACUCGCAGAAUAAGCACCGGCUAACUCUGUGCCAGCAGCCGCGGUAAUACAGAGGGUGCGAGCGUUAAUCGGAUUUACUGGGCGUAAAGCGUGCGUAGGCGGCUUUUUAAGUCGGAUGUGAAAUCCCUGAGCUUAACUUAGGAAUUGCAUUCGAUACUGGGAAGCUAGAGUAUGGGAGAGGAUGGUAGAAUUCCAGGUGUAGCGGUGAAAUGCGUAGAGAUCUGGAGGAAUACCGAUGGCGAAGGCAGCCAUCUGGCCUAAUACUGACGCUGAGGUACGAAAGCAUGGGGAGCAAAACAGGAUUAGAUACCCUGGUAGUCCAAUGCCGUAAAACGAUGUCUACUAGCCGUUGGGGCCUUUGAGGCUUUAGUGGCGCAGCUAACGCGAUAAGUAGACCGCCUGGGGAGUACGGUCGC